UGUCCCCCUUGUCCCGCGUCCCCUGAGUCACACCAGAGCCGUCACGGCAAACGAUGCCUGGCAGAGGGUGAAAGUGGCAUUUGCAGCGACAGAAGAGUCUCCAGGGUCUCCCGCAGCGGGAGCGAUGCGGGGAAAAGGUGGCUCGGCCGCAUUUCCAGCAUUAAAAUUUCAUGCGAGUUGCAGCAUCCUCCUGCGCCGUAGGUAGGGCCGGGGGGGCCGGGGGCUGCUGGAGGAGGAGUUUGCUCGGCCGCCUCUUCCUCGGGGAUGCUCUGGGAAAGCUCCAGCACAAAGGAGCGGCGCGGCGGGCAGGAGCCAGCGCAACCGGAGCCCCCCAGCCCGGCCCCCCGGAGCAGGUAACGCAUCGCGGGCACGGCUCCGGUCUCUGCGGGCCGGGAUGGGGCCUGGGGAGCAGAAUCCUCAUCAAGAAUAGGGGUCCUGCCAGGUAAAUGGAUUCUUGCCUGAUUUUCAAUGCUCCUGGGAGGAUUUGUAGCCAAAAAUGCUGGCUUAGUGCUUUGUCUCGAAGCCCCCAUUUUCUUCUAAAGCUGAUGGUCCCAGGCGGGGGUUAGAGGAGAGUCAGGGCCAGCAGCCCCAGGGCACAGCCCAGCCCUUCCCUCCCCUCCGCAGAUGUUAACCUGGCAGAUGCUCUUCUUGCGGAGCCAUUUUCUCUCCCUCAUUGUCUCUCAGCCUUUUGUGUGUGCGGGUAGGUCCUGCCCUGUGAGCCAGGAGGAGCCCAGAAAUAAUCGGAUUUUCAGGCUUUGCGGGCUUGCAAGGAGCCUUUCACACGCUGACACCCCUUUUCUGCCAGGGCUGCAGACAAAGACAGCAGUGCCUGGCACCCCUGCAGCAGCUCCGGAGCCUGGGCUGUGCUGGAUGGCAGCGAGGGUCGGGCAGAGCUGGCAGGGCACAGGACCGGCGUGUGUGCCCACUCUGCUGGGAGCUGAGGGCUCAGGGUGCCCGGAUGCCACAUCCCAGAGAUCAUCUCUCUGGGAUCUGCUGUGCCCUCAUGUCCCUGCUCCUGCCCGCAGUGGAGCUUGUGCUCCUCUUCCUCCCUGUCUCCUCACUCGAGGAGGGGGUUUAGCCCCAUUUAAUUCGGGUGUCCAGCCCUAGGGCCACUGUAUGUGCCACCCACACGUGUGGCAGAGGCAGCUCAAGCUCACGCCCAAGACGAGUCUGCCCAAAAUUGUUUUUCCCUCCCUGUCCCCUGGGAUGUGCUUCAUUCCCAGGCCACAGAGGCCAUCCUGCCCCAGCACAGGCGCCUCCCGCCCGGAUCCAGCCGGGGAUCCAUGUGCCAGAUGCUCGGUGCCAUCUCCACCGCUCAUCCCUUCUGCUCUCACCGCAGCUGGGCUGCAAAAGCCACCAGGACGUGCUGUCCCCACGGCAGGGACUGUCCUGCGGGCACUGUGGUGACAACGAGCCUCGGGAAGCAGGAGUGGCUCCGCAGCUGAACUGCAGAGUCAUCACAGCCCCGCUCCCCCGGGACCUGCUGCUGUCCUGGUCUGCCCGGGCAGGCAGGGCAGGGCAGGGCACAGACAUUGGCACAGACACGGGCUGGAUGCUGGCACCGGCCACAUGUCCCCAAAUCCCCGAGGAGAUGGAGCAGCACCCAUGGCUGUGACCACCAGUUGCCCCAGUGGCUCAGCUUUACCCCACGGCAGGGGCAGAGGUGGCAGCAGAAGUGGCAGUGGCAAUCAGUCCCUCCUUCCAGCGAGGCUGGGACAGUUUGGGGCAUUGCCACCAUUUCUGGUGUGGUGGCUCCAGUGCUCCCCCUGUGCCUGGCUCAGCUCCUUCACCCUGCAAGGGGACAGGGACAGGAAGGUCUGUGCCCAACCCUCCUGCCAGGCUCCUGCCAGGGCCCUGCCUGAGGACGGUGCCCUGUUUCUCUCCCUUUGCUGCGUUGGUUGUUUCUUUUGCAGCUGCUAAUGACUGACCUGAGGUCUGUUCACACAGUCCCCUCGCUGCCCCACAGAGCCACCUGGAACAGGGGACAUUGCACAGCAUUCAAAUAGCUGCUGACCACAGUGCCACCGCCCCAGGGGCACGGCCCAGCUCCUGCCUGGCCAGACUGACCAUGUCCAGAGGGGAGCAAGGCUCAGGAGCUGUCAUCAUCACCAGGACACGAUGCCAGAGCCGGGCUGGCCCCAGCAGAGCACCCUGGUACCCUCUGCCAUGGCAUGGAGCCACCAGCCCAGCCACUGCGGGGGACAUGGCCCAGGAGAUGGCACUGGUGACACCUGAGGACACUGGGCUGAGCAUGCACACGGUUCUCCUGCAAGGUGCUGAGGUGUCCCUGCCUCCCACUGCUGUCCCCAGGCCUCUCCCCUGCCCUGAGCACAGAGUAGGAGGAGGGAGAAGGAAAAGGGAGUGGGGGCAGAGCUGUGCCAGCUCCUCGUGGUGACACAAUGGGCACAGAGCCCACAGGGGCUCUGUUUGUCCCCACUGACCCUGACCUUCCCUCUGGCUUUCUGGAACACCUGGUGUGUGAAGCCUGGGCAGUGAAUCCUGCUGCCAUGGCCUCUGCAGUGCCCUGUAAGGGUGGGACCCUGUCCUCACCAAGCAGCCACUCAGGCCCAUGUCCCCACACAGGCACAAGGACGGGGGUGCAGUGGGCUGGGGGCACACACAGCUCAUGGCAGGUGUCACAGCCUGGAAGUCCAAACUGGAAAAGUGUCUCUUGGGGACCAGAGGAGCUUGUGCUGUGGGAGGAGGUGACCCAGAGGGACAUAGGGCAGAGGCUUUCCUGGGUGCCCUAUCCCAGCCCUGUUUCCUGGGGCACAGUGCAGCCCUUGCAGCAUUGCUCAGCCCCAUGGAGAGGCAGCUCCUGAUGGGGAGGGGGUAAGCUGUGGGUCACCUUUCUUCUGCUCCAUAGUAGUUUUCCCUGCUGGACCUGCACGUGCAGUGGGAGCUGGGGCAGUCCUGGAGCAGCUGCCAUGGUCUCUGCUGCAGCCUUACCCCAGACACCACCAGUGAUUCUUUCACCCUUCCUCUUCUGCUUCUUGAGCUCCUUCAGAGUCCUUUAGACACUGCUGGGGCUGUGUUCUCCAUGCAUCCUGUCUCUCACCUUUCCCAGCACCAGGGGUGGAAAGCCCAUAUUCUGAGGGGGCUCUGGUACCUCCCUGGCAGAGAUCAGAGGGGCAGGAGCCUGCUGAGCAUUUCAUUCAGGGACAGGUUCUGCUACACCACCUAAACCCUCCACUAACACCUCCCCAAAUACCAACACCCAAAACCGCCUCCUGCUCUUGUGAGCCAGAGCCCUGCUGCUGGCAGGCCUGGCUCUGCAUGCUGCCAAUAUUAACCUACUAACCUGCUGGGCCCCCUGUGCCCUCCCUGGGGCUGCCACAGCCCCUGGCACACGGACUAACCCACUAACCAGCCCAGCGCAUGCCCUACUAACCCACAGCAGCCCUGCCUUGUGCCCACUAACCACGGCAGCAGGACUGCCUUUAAAGGGGAACAGAAAAGCUGGAAAAAGGGGUUUGGAAAUGUCAGUGCCAGGCUGCACAGGCAGGGACAGGCAGGGACAGCCCUGGAGAGAGCACUGGCUACCCAGGAGUGGUGUUGGGCAGCUCCUGCAUGUGCAGGCAGCUCCAGUUCUGGGCAGGGAAGGGGACUGCUGGUCCCUGGGCAGGAGAAGGGAGAAGCAUCCCCUGCCCUGGGCAGGAAAGGGGAGCAGCAGCCCCUUCCCCAGGCAGGAAAGGGAACCAGCAGCCCCUGCCUGAGCAGCCCUUGGCAGCAUGAGGAGAGGAGAGGGUUUCUCCCUACACGCCCUGCCCAGCUCUGCCUGUGGAGCCUGUUGCUGACUAGGAGCCUAAAACGGUUUUAUCAGCAGAAGCUUUUCAGUUCCUUUUUAAGCCCGUAGAUCUCUGUUACUAACACAUUCCUGAACUGAAUUAAACAAACUAACCAUUGCUGCUUUUCUCUUCAUUUCUCUUGCAGUGUGUGUGUCCUCUAAGGCAGACCAGCGCCCUGCUUCUGUUACUAACCCGUUCUUCUGUUCCCACUGUACUAAUCCUCCCUGACUGUUUCUCUCUUGCUACUAACAACUCUCUUUGCACUUUGCCUCUCGGGUGCUGUUUGCCAUGACAAGUGACAGUGGCUCCUCCUGGACUUACUCACCUGCAGCACUCGAUUUUCCGUGCUGCUGAGCAUCCCUGGCUCCCGUUUGGUACCAUGGGAAAGAAGAUAGAUGCUCAGCCUGAGGCACUUUGCAUAUUUCCCUCUUGGCCUGUUUUCCAACAAAUUUCACAUGGCACAAUGAGGAGAAGAGGCUGAGUGGCAAUAGGACAGUCCAAGGCCAUUAAUGGCUGUAGAGGCCCAGCAAAGCCAGUUUGCAAAGAGAUUCAGCCACAGAGCAAAGUUAUUGCCAUGAGCCUGAGCAUGGAGCUCUCCUGAGGCCCCAGGUCACCUGUCAUGAGCAAUGUUCUCGUGCUGCUCCCAGCAUUGGUGCUCCUGGGCUCCUCUCUUUUCUCCCGCUGUGUCUCUCCACAGUUUCUCUUGUGCCUGGUGCAUGUGGAAGCCCCUGCUGGCAGCGUGGCCCUGACUAACCCAGCUCUGUGUCGCCGUCCCACUGCAGGCUCCCCUGGGCCCAGCCGAGGACAGGGAUGGGCAGUGGGUGUCACAGGGGAUGGGGGCACAGCCUGGCCUUUGCUUCCUGUCCAGAUGAGCAUCCCCAGCCUCUGCAGGGACCCUGCCAGGGUGAAGGAUACAGACCCUGGCUCACUGCUGUUACUUUGGCACAUGGCAAGGCACUGACAACAUUCAGGGUGCCAUGACCAGGGGGACAGAGCCCAGCUGUCCCUGUGUGCCAUCAGAGGAUGGUGGCCCUGUGCUGCUGGCUCAUCUGGGAGGACAUCCCAGACUGUGGCUGUUGUGGGGUCACAGCAGCUCUGUCAGGGCGGAACAAAUCCAGACAGGGUCCAGCUCUGGCUGCUCUCUCUUGGCUUUGCCCUGUGCUCUCUCUCCCGUGGCCACGGCUUCCCCAGACCCACUGUCACUGGCUGAUGUCACUGUCACUGAAAGCAGAGCCAGAGAGGUCUCCUGGGUGGCCCCAUGACACUGUCACCUCCCCUGCUAGGCACUAAGCCCAGCUUUAGCUAGGGGGUUUCUCUCCGGCUGUUGGGGUCCCCUUCCCGCCCAGCUCUGUGUCUGUCCAGCCUCCACCUUACCCCACUAAUCCCCCAAUGCCACCAGGAUGGGUUUUAGGGCUGAUGGAAGGGGGAGACAGGGGCAGAGUGGGGAGCACAGGGACAGGAAUGGGACAGGAGGACAAGCCAGGUUGGACCCAGGGUGGGCAGAUCAGGGCUCCUGCACAGGACAGGAGCACCACCAGCACUGGGCUGGAGCUGUCAGAGCCCAGCUCUGUGAGGGACUCUCCUCCCCACCCCACAGACCCCCCUUUCUGCUCCAGAGCAGCCCCUCUAUGCACAGGGGGACUCCCCAGGCUGGUCACCCAAGGGAGAUGUGGGACCACGAGUCACCUCGAUGGCAGAGGAUGCAGCUGGCAGAUGUCACCCUGCACACCCUGCACAGUGGGGACAGGCCACCAGCGCCCAUGGGUGGCUGCAUCCCCCUCAGAGCAGGGCAGGAGGGCAGAGAGGCUCCACCAAACAGCCAGGUCACUCCUUUGCCCUGCUCCUGCACCUCAGGGCUCCCUGUCCCCGCUCCCCAGUCCCCGUGGCUGGCAGGAGUUGAUCUGUCUGUCUAUCCAUCCCUCUCUGCUGUAUGGAGAGGGGCAGCAUGUGCAGCCCCCCUUCCAGCUGUGGUGGUGACGUGUGGCCAGGGCAGCCCAGCAGUGACAGGGGCAGAGUGGCAGCCCUGGGGACACUGUCCUGCCCUGGCUGCUCAGGGCUGCCCCUGCUCUGCGGGCACAGCCACGCUGGCUGGGCACUGGCCACGAGUCCCAUAGGUCACCAGAGCCCCGAGGAUGUCCCCAGAGCCACGAAGAUGUCCCCACUGCCUGUAAAGUCUACUGUGAACAUGGCAAGUGUGCAACCA